CCUACGGGAGGCAGCAGUGAGGAAUAUUGGUCAAUGGACGAGAGUCUGAACCAGCCAAGUAGCGUGAAGGAUGACUGCCCUAUGGGUUGUAAACUUCUUUUAUAUGGGAAUAAAAUGUUCCACGUGUGGGAUUUUGUAUGUACCAUAUGAAUAAGGAUCGGCUAACUCCGUGCCAGCAGCCGCGGUAAUACGGAGGAUCCGAGCGUUAUCCGGAUUUAUUGGGUUGUAAGGGAGCGUAGGUGGAUUGUUAAGUCAGUUGUGAAAGUUUGCGGCUCAACCGUAAAAUUGCAGUUGAAACUGGCAGUCUUGAGUACAGUAGAGGUGGGCGGAAUUCGUGGUGUAGCGGUGAAAUGCUUAGAUAUCACGAAGAACUCCGAUUGCGAAGGCAGCUCACUGGACUGCAACUGACACUGAGGCUCGAAAGCGUGGGUAGCAAACAGGAUUAGAUACCCCUGUAGUC
rnacentral:rRNA from 1 species